rnacentral:rRNA from 1 species
UACGUAGGUGGCAAGCGUUGUCCGGAUUUACUGGGCGUAAAGAGCGCGCAGGCGGUCGGAUAAGUCGAAUGUGAAAGCCCCCGGCUCAACUGGGGAGGGUCAUUCGAUACUGUUCGACUCGAAGGCAGGAGAGGGAAGUGGAAUUCCCGGUGUAGUGGUGAAAUGCGUAGAUAUCGGGAGGAACACCAGUGGCGAAGGCGACUUCCUGGCCUGUUCUUGACGCUGAGGCGCGAAAGCCAGGGGAGCAAACGGGG